UACGGAGGGUGCAAGCGUUAUCCGGAUUCACUGGGUUUAAAGGGUGCGUAGGUGGGCAGGUAAGUCAGUGGUGAAAUCUCCGGGCUUAACUCGGAAACUGCCAUUGAUACUAUCUGUCUUGAAUACCGUGGAGGUCAGCGGAGUAUGUCAUGUAGCGGUGAAAUGCUUAGAUAUGACAUAGAACACCAAUUGCGAAGGCAGCUGGCUACACGAAUAUUGACACUGAUGCACGAAAGCGUGGGGAUCAAACAGG
rnacentral:rRNA from 1 species